rnacentral:rRNA from 1 species
UGGGGGAUAUUGCACAAUGGGGGAAACCCUGAUGCAGCGACGCCGCGUGGAGGAAGAAGGCCUUCGGGUUGUAAACUCCUGUCCGAGGGGACGAUAAUGACGGUACCCUUGGAGGAAGCACCGGCUAACUACGUGCCAGCAGCCGCGGUAAAACGUAGGGUGCAAGCGUUGUCCGGAAUUACUGGGUGUAAAGGGAGCGCAGGCGGAGUGGCAAGUUGGGAGUGAAAGGUUUGGGCUCAACCCAGACACUGCUUUCAAAACUGCCAGUCUUGAGUGGUGUAGAGGUAGGCGGAAUUCCCGGUGUAGCGGUGGAAUGCGUAGAUAUCGGGAGGAACACCAGUGGCGAAGGCGGCCUACUGGGCACUAACUGACGCUGAGGCUCGAAAGUAUGGGUAGCAAACAGG